CCUCCUAUUUAUGAAAAAAAAUCCCAUCUAGCCCUCCUCCUUCCUGACCUCUUAUGAGGAACAAAAAUUUGCAUCCCGAGAUCAUCUUCUCCUCUUGAUACUUUCUCUUACUUUCUAUUUGAUCACCAUUUUUUCUUUUGUUUUUAAUGCUACAUUUUUAGAUCCGAAAAAUCUAGUCUUAGAAAGAUUUUUUGCCAUCUGACCUACUAACCAUGAUUUAU
rnacentral:lncRNA from 1 species